rnacentral:rRNA from 1 species
GAUGAACGCUGGCGGCGUGCCUAAUACAUGCAAGUCGAGCGAAUGGAUUGAGAGCUUGCUCUUAUGAAGUUAGCGGCGGACGGGUGAGUAACACGUGGGUAACCUGCCCAUAAGACUGGGAUAACUCCGGGAAACCGGGGCUAAUACAGGAUAACAUUUUGAACCGCAUGGUUCGAAAUUGAAAGGCGGAUUCGGCUGUCACUUAUGGAUGGACCCGCGUCGCAUUAGCUAGUUGGUGAGGGAACGGCACACCAAGGCAACGAGGCGUAGCCGACCUGAGAGGGUGAUCGGCCACACUGGGACUGAGACACGGCCCAGACUCCUACGGGAGGCAGCAGUAGGGAAUCUUCCGCAAUGGACGAAAGUCUGACGGAGCAACGCCGCGUGAGUGAUGAAGGCUUUCGGGUCGUAAAACUCUGUUGUUAGGGAAGAACAAGUGCUAGUUGAAUAAGCUGGCACCUUGACGGUACCUAACCAGAAAGCCACGGCUAACUACGUGCCAGCCGCCGCGGUAA